AAAUAUGGUUUUUUAAUCCCCCCCGACGAACGCUGGCGGCAGGCUUAACACAUGCAAGUCGAGCGCCCCGCAAGGGGAGCGGCAGACGGGUGAGUAACGCGUGGGAACAUACCCUCCGGUUCGGAAUAACUCAGGGAAACUUGAGCUAAUACCGGAUACGGUCGAGAGGCGAAAGAUUUAUCGCCGGAGGAUUGGCCCGCGUCCGAUUAGCUAGUUGGUGUGGUAAUGGCGCACCAAGGCGACGAUCGGUAGCUGGUCUGAGAGGAUGAUCAGCCACAUUGGGACUGAGACACGGCCCAAACUCCUACGGGAGGCAGCAGUGGGGAAUAUUGGACAAUGGGCGAAAGCCUGAUCCAGCCAUGCCGCGUGAGUGAUGAAGGCCUUAGGGUUGUAAAGCUCUUUCGCCCACGACGAUAAUGACGGUAGUGGGAGAAGAAGCCCCGGCUAACUUCGUGCCAGCAGCCGCGGUAAUACGAAGGGGGCUAGCGUUGUUCGGAAUUACUGGGCGUAAAGCGCGUGUAGGCGGGUCUUUAAGUCAGGGGUGAAAUGCCAAGGCUCAACCUUGGAACUGCCUUUGAUACUGGGGAUCUUGAGUCCGGGAGAGGUGAGUGGAACUGCGAGUGUAGAGGUGAAAUUCGUAGAUAUUCGCAAGAACACCAGUGGCGAAGGCGGCUCACUGGCCCGGAACUGACGCUGAGACGCGAAAGCGUGGGGAGCAAACAGGAUUAGAUACCCUGGUAGUCCACGCUGUAAACGAUGGAUGCUAGCCGUUGGGGAGCUUGCUCUUCAGUGGCGCAGCUAACGCCUUAAG
rnacentral:rRNA from 1 species